ensembl:snRNA U6 U6 spliceosomal RNA
GUGCUUGCUUUGGCAGCACAUAUACAAAAAUUGGGCCAAUACAGAAAAGAUUAGCAUGGCUCCUGUGUAAGGAUGAUAUGCAAAUUUGUGAAGUGUUCCAUAUUUUU